AGUGGCGAACGGGUGAGUAAUGUAUAAGAAUCUACCUUUUAGUGGAGAAUACCUUUGGGAAACCAAAGUUAAUACUGCAUAUCUUUUACGGAAAGAUGCGCUAAAAGAUGAGCUUAUAUUCUAUUAGCUAGUUGGUAGGGUAAAGGCCUACCAAGGCUGUGAUGGAUAGCCGGCCUGAGAGGGUGUACGGCCACAUUGGAACUUAGAUACGGUCCAGACUCCUACGGGAGGCAGCAGUGAGGAAUAUUGCACAAUGGGCGAAAGCCUGAUGCAGCGACGCCGCGUGGAGGAUGACGGUCUUCGGAUUGUAAACUCCUGUUAAGCGGGAAAAAUGAUUGUACCGCUAGAGAAAGCACCGGCUAACUUCGUGCCAGCAGCCGCGGUAAUACGAGGGGUGCAAACGUUAUUCGGAAUCAUUGGGCGUAAAGGGUGCGUAGAUGGCACACCAAGUCAAUUAUUAAAUCUUUUGGCUUAACCAAAAGACUGUGGUUGAGAC
rnacentral:rRNA from 1 species